UGGGGAAUAUUGCACAAUGGGCGCAAGCCUGAUGCAGCCAUGCCGCGUGUAUGAAGAAGGCCUUCGGGUUGUAAAGUACUUUCAGUCGGGAGUAAAGUUAAUACCUUUGCUCAUUGACGUUACCCGCAGAAGAAGCACCGGCUAACUCCGUGCCAGCAGCCGCGGUAAUACGGAGGGUGCAAGCGUUAAUCGGAAUUACUGGGCGUAAAGCGCACGCAGGCGGUUUGUUAAGUCAGAUGUGAAAUCCCCGGGCUCAACCUGGGAACUGCAUCUGAUACUGGCAAGCUUGAGUCUCGUAGAGGGGGGUAGAAUUCCAUGUGUAGCGGUGAAAUGCGUAGAGAUGUGGAGGAAUACCGGUGGCGAAGGCGGCCCCCUGGACAAAGACUGACGCUCAGGUGCGAAAGCGUGGGGAGCAAACAGG
rnacentral:rRNA from 1 species